rnacentral:lncRNA from 1 species
CGGGGACUACGCGGGGCGGUAGCUGGCGCGGAGCGCGGUGGGAGAGGAGAGGGUACCCGGCUGGCUCGGCUGGCGGCCUCUGCCAGGAUCUCGGCGCUGCAGUCCUGCGCCUCUCCCACCCCUGACUCCGGCUCCGCGGCCCCGGGCACGGCGGAGGCAGCGGAGCCCUGGGCCAUCGGAU